CCUCCCACCCUUCACCCCAAUCCUUUGUAAUUUUUCUAGAGUGAGUUUCAAGCAGGGAUAUAUUUUACUGCCUCCCGUGUGAUACUAAUGUGCAGCCAGAGAUUGGGACAAGACAAUCAACAUAGAUAAGCGAUGUAUUCUGCCUCCCAUCGUCCAUGGGAGGAGGAAGCUAAAAGGAAAGUUGGAGGGCAAGUCCUUGACGAUGAAAAAAGGUCAAGAAACUAUGAGGUGAUUGUCCAAAGUGGCCAAGGAUGGAGUUUGGAGACUUCCUUGAGAUGAUAAAAAAAGGAUAGUGUGAACAAACAAGCCCCAUGCAGGCUGGCAGAUCCUCAGUUAUACUUUAUUGCUGUCAGAGCCCCACCGUCAUGUCAGGCUAAGGAACACACUCACCAGUGGCUCCAGGGAUCCUCAUUCCAACCCAGCACAGUGGAAAGAGAGCUGCUAUCUCCCGACAUCCGUGAUUGACUCUCCUGGGAUCUACCCUCUAACCCCAGUUGCAAUCUGACCAGCUUUAUUCAGGAGAAGCACUAAACCCUAAAGCAUACAGUUGGUCCUGUGUCAGAAGGCUGGGACUUACCCAUGAGAAAGCGUAAGCUCUCCCCUGCAGGGGAGCUUGUUGGGAAUGCAAGGUGACAGGGAACCCACAGGACCUUGCCCUGGAGGGCCUUACAGCAAAUAAGCCUACAUUGUUGAAUCACAUGUACUGAAGACUACAGAACAAAUCAUAGAAAAAGGAAUAAAAGUGAUGAUUGAAAAGAAAAGCCAGCAGUAUCCUCCUGCUUAGUUUCCCUUGAAAAGAAUGAGCAAAGUGAUCUGUGUAGCCUUGCAACCAGGGAACAGAUUUCCUGUGUAGGGCUCACAACUCUGGAAAGGAACUGGACAUACUGAGAAGCACCCUAUAAGGAGAGGUACUUCUUUGCAAGCCAAGAUUAUAAGCCUACCUCUGGUGAUCAGCUCUUAAAAAUGAACACAAAACAGAAGACAGCUUUGAGAGGUGCUGUAGAAAGGGGAAGAGUACCUGCAUGAAGUUGGUCAGAGCCCCUUCAGAGCCAGUUGUGUAAUGGGCACUGGGACAAGAGACAGAUUUUUCUUUCAAGAAAAAAAAACAAAAAACCGUGAUUCAUUCUGGCUGGAUAAUGCUGAACGAGACCAAGAAGCUCUCUGUGCUUUGGGACUUCACACGUGGCCAGGGAGGAUCUGGAUGGCUGUAUGAGGGGGGCUGACUGACUGUGGGAACAAUAUCCAGGAAAGACCUAUCUUCCUGUCUCGCUGAGCGUCUGCCUGUGUACUUCCAUAGCCCUCAUUGUUAUGUGGGGGCCCUGACAGAUCACAUUAUCCCAGGGACAACAUAAGCGUCAAGGAGAAACUUUCUCACAUGAUUCUCCUAAAGGUCUGUCUGUGGUUUGCAGUAAAGUUUUGGAAAUUUUUUCUGCCAGACAUUCAAAAUAUUAAUUACAAUGUUGCAUUAAUAUAAUCCAUUAAUAUUUUUUGGUCUAAUUAAUUUUUUCCUACUAAAUUUGAAGACUUUGGAUGCUUUGUGUUUUGGGGUCAAGCCUAUAUGUUAUUAUGUCUUUCACAGGCUGGGCUGAAAAAAGUUUAAGUAAUAUAACGAGAGACUAUUGAUGCCAUGAGUGUCUACUCUUCCUAUACACCAGAGAUUUAACUUAAGGAUAGCGAUAAAUGCUUGCCUUCUGCCAGUCACACACCAUCACCAAGUACUCCCAUAAAUACACAUCACUUCCUUCUGUAUGUUCCCCUAUCAUUUCACACUUGACUAUCAUCGUGCUUAGGACCAUGAUUUAAAAUUAAUUAUCUGAGUUUUCCUUACUGGAUUGUAACUCCAAAAAAGGUAGGAAAUUGCUCUUAAUUUUCUUUUUGUCUUCUUCAAGCUUCUGUGUAGGGCAAGCAUAAGUUAAUUGCUUAGUGAGUGAAUUGAUAAAUCAUUAAAUAAUGUUUUUAUUUUGUUCUCACAUUAUUUUUUAACUUGAUCAACAUCAGAGUCUGCCAAAUGCUUUUAUAAAGUAUUUAACUCUAUAUUAAGUUACUAAAACGUAAACAAUUUUCUGUUAAAAAAUGAUUGUUUUCACUGCGCUUCUCUUCAACUUCUGGGGUAAACUCAUGUUUGGUUUGAUGAGUAAGUGUAUUUAGACAUUUA